rnacentral:rRNA from 1 species
UGGGUUUAGACCGUCGUGAGACAGGUUAGUUUUACCCUACUGAUGAAUGUUACCGCAAUAGUAAUUGAACUUAGUACGAGAGGAACAGUUCAUUCGGAUAAUUGGUUUUUGCGGCUGUCUGAUCAGGCAUUGCCGCGAAGCUACCAUCCGCUGGAUUAUGGCUGAACGCCUCUAAGUCAGAAUCCAUGCUAGAACGCGGUGAUUUCUUUGCUCCACACAAUAUAGAUGGAUACGAAUAAGGCGUCCUUGUGGCGUCGCUGAACCAUAGCAGGCUAGCAACGGUGCACUUGGCGGAAAGGCCUUGGGUG